GUGGGGAAUCUUGCGCAAUGAGCGAAAGCCUGACGCAGCCAUGCCGCGUGAAUGAUGAAGGUCUUAGGAUUGUAAAAUUCUUUCACCGGGGACGAUAAUGACGGUACCCGGAGAAGAAGCUCCGGCUAACUUCGUGCCAGCAGCCGCGGUAAUACGAAGGGGGCUAGCGUUGCUCGGAAUUACUGGGCGUAAAGGGCGCGUAGGCGGACAGCUUAGUCAGAGGUGAAAGCCCAGGGCUCAACCUUGGAAUUGCCUUUGAUACUGGCUGUCUUGAGUUUGGGAGAGGUGAGUGGAACUCCGAGUGUAGAGGUGAAAUUCGUAGAUAUUCGGAAGAACACCAGUGGCGAAGGCGACUCACUGGCCCAAUACUGACGCUGAGGCGCGAAAGCGUGGGGAGCAAACAGGAUUAGAUACCCUUGUAGUCC
rnacentral:rRNA from 1 species